ACAUCACGGAUUGCCUUAGUACGGCGAGUGAGCGGCAAAGCUUCCAAUUUUGAAAUUCCUGGUACCUUCGGUGCCCGAGUUUGUAAUUAUGGAGAGGGCAACUUUGGGGCCGUUCCUUGUCUAUGUUCCUUGGAACAGGACGUCAUAGAGGGUGAGAAUCCCGUGUGGCGAGGAGUGCGGUUCUUUGUAAAGUGCCUUCGAAGAGUCGAGUUGUUUGGGAAUGCAGCUCUAAGUGGGUGGUAAAUUCCAUCUAAAGCUAAAUAUUGGCGAGAGACCGAUAGCGAACAAGUACAGUGAUGGAAAGAUGAAAAGAACUUUGAAAAGAGAGUGAAAAAGUACGUGAAAUUGUUGAAAGGGAAGGGCAUUUGAUCAGACAUGGUGUUUUGUGCCCUCUGCUCCUUGUGGGUAGGGGAAUCUCGCAUUUCACUGGGCCAGCAUCAGUUUUGGUGGCAUCCAUAGGAAUGUAGCUUGCCUCGGUAAGUAUUAUAGCCUGUGGGAAUACUGCCAGCUGGGACUGAGGACUGCGACGUAAGUCAAGGAUGCUGGCAUAAUGGUUAUAUGCCGCCCGUCUGAAAAAAGGGGACCAAAAAAAUAAAAAAAAAAGAAAAAAAAAAAAAAAAAAAAAAAAAAAAAACG
rnacentral:rRNA from 1 species